rnacentral:lncRNA from 1 species
AUAUAAUGUAUAUAAUGCUGCGGCGUGCAGCCCGAUCCAAUAUAAUAUAUAUAAUGCUGCGGCGUGCAGCCCGAUCCAAUGUAAUAUAUAUAAUGCUGCGGAGUGCAGCCCGAUCCAAUAUAAUAUAUAUCAAAUACCCUCACUACGGGGUUCUUGACCCCUCUCAGUCAAUAUAGACUUGGCCUCUCGGGCCACUCAACUAAGACAGGGUAUUCAACCCUAGGUAUUGCUCAUUUAGGGUACAAGUUACUGCGUCCAGUUUAUUUAAUGAUUUACAGUCAAUGUCGGGACAGAUGGUAUGUGUUCAAUAGGUAAAGUGA